AGCUUUUCAAAUCCGUGCUGAGAUUUCGUAAGACACCAACUCAUUAGGCCUGGUUAGACUUUCAAGAUAAGUGAAGUU
rnacentral:pre_miRNA from 1 species